GAAUAACACAUACAAAAUAAUGACAUAUUUGUGAGAGAAGAUAUGAGUUAUUUGAGGUGUAAUAAUUUGGUUGAGAAGUAAAUAGGAAAGUGAGUGAGAAGAUUUAGAGGAGAGGGGGAUGAAUUGUGUGCAAUUUGUAUCUGAAACAACAAAAGACAUGUCCAUAGUUUUGCACCUUGUUCUCCAACAACACAAUGUCCCAUGAUGUUGGUUUUGCUCACAAAAACUAAUCUAAACAGUACAAUAAAAGUGGUAGAAGAGAAAGGGCAGAAUGUUGAGGGAAGGAAUUGAU